rnacentral:misc_RNA from 1 species
UGGCUCUAGCAUCGAUGAAGAACGCAGCGAAAUGCGAUAAGUAAUGCGAAUUGCAGAAUUCCGCGAGUCAUCGAAUCUUUGAACGCACAUUGCGCCUGCCAGUAUUCUGGCAGGCAUGCCUGUCCGAGCGUCAUUUCAACCCCCAGGCCCUCGUUGCCUGUUGUUGGGGCAUUCAGGGCGGUCUGACGCGACCCCCCCGAGCCCUGAAAAUCAGUGGCGGGCUUGCCAGGCUACCGAGCGCAGUAAUCUCUCUCGCUCAGGGGCCCUGGCGGGUGCUAGCCGUGAAAACACACACCUACGAAUAGUGGUUUGACCUCGGAUCAGGUAGGAAUACCCGCUGA